UACGGAGGGUGCAACAGUUGCUCGGAAUCAUUGGGCGUAAAGCGCACGUAGGCGGCCUGAUAAGUCGGGUGUGAAAGCCCUGGGCUCAACCCAGGAAGUGCACUCGAAACUGUCAGGCUUGAAUAUGGAAGAGGGUCGCGGAAUUCCCGGUGUAGAGGUGAAAUUCGUAGAUAUCGGGAGGAACACCAGUGGCGAAGGCGGCGACCUGGGCCAAUAUUGACGCUGAGGUGCGAAAGCGUGGGGAGCGAACAGG
rnacentral:rRNA from 1 species